UCUUCUCCAAAAUAAGAAUAAAAUUUAUUCUCCAGUUGACUUGUCCCCAUUUUUCUCUUUUAAUUAUCUAUUUUCAUUGUGAUAUAUAUUAAGUGAAAAGUUUGAGUUGGUCUUACAAGUAUUCAUUUGGUCGUAUUUUUAAGAUUUUAUUUAUUGGUAAUAAUUUGUGAUAGUUCUUUUUUAUUCUUUUAGCAUAAUUUUGCAUGAAAUUGCCUGCCAGUGGUAAUAAUUUGCAAUAGUAUUUUUUUUUUCUUUUAGCUUAAUUUUUCAUGAAUUUACCUGCUAGAGGCAUACACUUCUCAUAAACUAGUAUCAGCCAUUCUUGUGAUAUACUUUUUGAAAAAAUAAAAAGCUUUCUCUCCGUACAAAUAGUAAUUCUCUCUCCAUAUGUGUAACGUUCAAUGGUGGCUGGGAGUGUUUAACGGCGAGGUUACUGCUAUACUGGAGCUGAAAAAUGGGAUUUUCGAAACAAAUAGUCAUUGAAUCAAAAGCUUUUGAGUUGACAAGGGAUGGAAAAUAUUUACAUGUCAUUGAGAGGAGCUGGAGAGUUGUGAAGAAAAUAAGGCUGGGGAUCUCCACGGUAUUUUGGUUUGCCAAAGCUUUGGAGGACUGUUUGAUGGGUGAAGGAGGAGAGUUCUAUACGGCUCAUCAAGAGGGAGAUAGAGGGUUCAUUGCAGAGAGACUGCAAGAGGCCAGUGUAGCGCGGAUGAGGGGGUGUCUGAGUUGUUGGGAGACCUGGAGCAUUGCGAGAGGCCACAGACUCCGCCGUCGGAGUCUUCUAUCCCAACAGUCGACCGCAGUUCCUUGUUGACUAUUGUCUACUAUUCCAACGCUGAAUUUUUUUUUUUUUAGCCGAGAAACGGCUAUCUACUCCAACUGAAAGUGCGGAAUUAGUGGGUGAAAUGGGGGGAGGUCAAAAUGGAAGGAACACUGGUUUUAUUUGAGUUUAACAAGGGUGGGGAGAUGCAAUCAUUGACAACAAUGGUGGCUGAAGGGAGGGAGGAUAAUGGGAAGGGCAAGUCAUCUGAGGAAGAACCUGUUCCUUUAAAUUCCUUUCAAUCCCAUUGUGUCAGAAUGGGUAAUUCAAAAAGCUAUGGAAAUUAAACAUUGCGUAGGAAUUACAUGCGAGGGCUUCGAAGCUGAAUUUAUGGCGUUACUUACAACCAUAGAGGUUGGGGCAAACAAUCCAAAGCUGACCUAUCCAUUAAUUCGGCUAAAAAAAGGGGAAAGAGAACUCAAAAGGCUUACGUGGGCUAUGAAUGAUGAUGGUGGAGAGAAGAGCGAACAGGGAGCGUGUCAAGGGGAAGGGUAAGGUGGUUGCUUUAUGAAGCUAAAAAUAAUAUCAUGGAAUGUAAGGGGGCUGCAUGAACAUAAUAAGCGGCUCCAAGUUAGAAACUUUCUUCGCCAAUGGAAUGAGGACAUUGUUUGCUUACAGGAGACUAAGUUGGAAGUUAUCACGGGAAAACUAGUCCGAAGUUUGUGGAGAGGGCAACAUAUAGGGUGGUCGUACUUGCCAUCUAAAGGAGCAUUUGAGGGAGUACUAAUUAUGUUUGAUAAAUGAGUGGUGGAAAGGGUAGAGGAAUGUGUGGGUGACUUCACUGUGGCUUGUUCAUUUAUGAACCUAUAAGACGGUUACCAAUGGGCAUUUGCUGUUUAUGGCCCAAAUAUUGAUUCGGUUAGAAGACCAUUGUGGAAAGAAUUGGCAGGACUUCUCAGUUGGUGGGAGUUACCAAGUUGCAUAGGGGUGAUUUUAAAGUAACUCGUUGCCCAAGCGAGAGGUCGGGUGUGCCCCACAUCACUCCCGCCAUGAGAGAGUUUUCUGAUUUUAUUUCAGAACAGGAGCUUAUGGAUAUUCCAUUAACAGGAGGUACUUUCACUUGGUCCAACAACCGAGAACUCCCAUCUUGAUCAAGGAUUGAUAGCUUUUGUUAACUCCAGAUUGACAGAUACAUUAUCCAAAUGUAGUACAAAGAAUACUACCCCGUUUAUGCUCUGAUCACUUCCCCAUCAUCUUAGACUGUGGUGGCAUCCAAGGGGGUAGAAGGUAUUUUAAGUUUGAGAAUAUGUGGCUUAAAUCUAAUGGUUUUGUAGACAGGGUCAGGCAAUGGUGGUCUUCUUACAAUUUCCAAGGCUCUCCAAGUUUCAUAAUGGCAAGAAAGUUAAAAGCUUUGAAACAUGAUUUGAAGCAAUGAAAUGAACAAGUUUUUGGCAAUGUGCUUCAACAGUGACAUUCUCUCUUAGAAGAGCUAUAGGGUCUGGAGGAUGAAGAGGAGGCAAUAACUCUUUUUGAAUCCGAGAGAAUUUGCAAAAGUCAGGUAGUUACUGAACUUGAAAGAGUAUCUUUGAUGGAGGAGAUUUAUUGGCAACAAAAAUCAAGGGCGCUUUGGUUCAAGGAAGGAGAUAAGUGUGCGAAAUUCUUCCAUAGGGUGGUGAAUUCUCACAGGAGGAACAAUGCUAUUGACAUGCUAAUGGUAGAUGGGGCAGGUUUCUCGGAUCAGUUGGUCAUCAAGAACCACUUCACUCAGAGACAUUGAGAGAUCUUCCGAGGACAUGAACAUAUUGUGUUGGGUGAUGGUUCUCGUGUUAGAUUUUGGUACGACAAAUGGUAUGGUGAAAGAAGUCUCCAAGACACAUUCCCGGCCAUCUUUUAGCUUGCACGAGGAAAGGAUGCAACGAUAGCCAACCUAUUGGACAUUUCCAGCAGCUCCCCUCAGUGGAAUAUUGAGUUCACUAGGGUAGUCCAAGACUGGGAGUUGGAGACUAUUACAGAGUUUUGUGCGACAUUAUAUUCUGUAAGCAUGACCGAGGGUACAGCCGAUACGAUGAACUGGAGCCCAUCCAAGAAAGGUAAAUUCACUGAUAGAUCAUUUUACCAAGUUCUAACGAGUCCUAAAAUGACUAUGUUCCCAUAGAAGAGUAUAUGGCAAACAAAAGCUCCUUCAAAAGUAGCUUUCUUCGUAUGGACAGCGUCAUUGGACAAGAUUCUUACCACAAAUAAUUUAAGGAAACACCAGGUUAUGGUGUUAGAAUGGUGCUGUAUGUGUAAGAAGAACGGUGAACCAGUAAAUCAUUUGCUUUUACAUUGCGAGGUGGCCAAGACCAUGUGGGAUGAUUUCUUCAUGAGAAUGGGAUUGUCAUGGGUCAUGCCUCAUAGAUUGGUGGAUUUCCUUGCAAGCUGGAGAGGCCUUCAUGGUAACUCACAAGUGGCAGCCAUCCGGAGAAUGGUUCCUAUAUGUAUGUGUUGGUGCAUCUGGCAGGAGCGAAAUGCUAGGAGCUUUGAAGAUCAUGAGAGAACAACGGAUGAGUUCAAAGUUUUCUUUUUUAAAUCAUUGAUCUUAUUGG